UACGUAGGCAGCGAGCGUUGUUCGGAGUUACUGGGCGUAAAGAGUGCGUAGGCGGUUUUCUAAGUUUGGUGUGAAAUCUCCCGGCUUAACUGGGAGGGUGCGCCGAAGACUGGAAGGCUUGAGUAUGGGAGAGGUAAGCGGAAUUCCUGGUGUAGCGGUGAAAUGCGUAGAUAUCAUUUGGAACGCCAAUGGUGAAAACAGGUUGCUGGGAGUAUGCUGACGCUGAGACACGAAAGCCAGGGGAGCGAACGGG
rnacentral:rRNA from 1 species